rnacentral:rRNA from 1 species
AGUGAACGCUGGCGGUAGGCCUAACACAUGCAAGUCGAACGGCAGCACAGUAAGAGCUUGCUCUUACGGGUGGCGAGUGGCGGACGGGUGAGGAAUACAUCGGAAUCUACUUUUUCGUGGGGGAUAACGUAGGGAAACUUACGCUAAUACCGCAUACGACCUACGGGUGAAAGCAGGGGAUCUUCGGACCUUGCGCGAAUGAAUGAGCCGAUGUCGGAUUAGCUAGUUGGCGGGGUAAAGGCCCACCAAGGCGACGAUCCGUAGCUGGUCUGAGAGGAUGAUCGGCCACACUGGAACUGAGACACGGUCCAGACUCCUACGGGAGGCAGCAGUGGGGAAUAUUGGACAAUGGGCGCAAGCCUGAUCCAGCCAUCCCGCGUGGGUGAAGAAGGCCUUCGGGUUGUAAAGCCCUUUUGUUGGGAAAGAAAAGCAGCAGGUUAAUACCCCGCUGUUCUGACGGUACCCAAAGAAUAAGCACCGGCUAACUUCGUG